CCCUUAGAUGUUCUGGGCUGCACGCGCGCUACACUGUCGGAUUCAGCGAGUCAUAUCCUUAACCGAAAGGUUUGGGUAAUCUUUUGAAAGUCCGACGUGAUGGGGAUUGAUCAUUGCAAUUAUUGAUCAUGAACGAGGAAUUCCUAGUAAGCGCGAGUCAUCGGCUCGCGUUGAUUACGUCCCUGCCCUUUGUACACACCGCCCGUCGCUACUACCGAUUGAAUGGUUUAGUGAGAUCUUCGGAUUGGCGCCUACGCGGCUUCUCUGAGGCCACGCUGGAUGCCGAAAAGUUGCUCAAACUGUAUCAUUUAGAGGAAGUAAAAGUCGUAACA
rnacentral:rRNA from 1 species